rnacentral:rRNA from 1 species
CGCGUGCUGGGAAGAAGGCCUUAGGGUUGUAAACCGCUUUCAGUAGGGAAGAAAAUGACGGUACCUACAGAAGAAGGUGCGGCCAACUACGUGCCAGCAGCCGCGGUAACACGUAGGCACCAAGCGUUAUCCGGAUUUAUUGGGCGUAAAGAGCUCGUAGGCGGUUCAGUCAGUCGGGUGUGAAAACUUGAGGCUUAACCUCAAGAGGUCACUCGAUACUACUGUGACUAGAGUGCGGUAGGGGAGCGGGGAAUUCCUGGUGUAGCGGUGAAAUGCGCAGAUAUCAGGAGGAACACCAGUGGCGAAGGCGCCGCUCUGGGCCGUAACUGACGCUGAGGAGCGAAAGCAUGGGUAGCAAACAGGAUUAGAUACCCUGGUAGUCCAUGCCGUAAACGUUGGGCACUAGGUGUGGGUCUCAACCAACGAGAUCCGCGCCGUCGCUAACGCAUUAAGUGCCCCGCCUGGGGAGUAC